GACGAACCGAGCGAACGUUAUUCGGAAUCACUGGGCUUAAAGGGCGCGUAGGCGGGCCGUCAAGUCAGGGGUGAAAGCCCCCAGCCUAACUGGGGAAGUGCCUCUGAUACUGACGGUCUCGAGGGAGGUAGGGGCGUGCGGAACUUCCGGUGGAGCGGUGAAAUGCGUAGAUAUCGGAAGGAACACCGGUGGCGAAGGCAGGUCUCUGGGCAUUAACUGACGCUGAGGAGCGAAAGCACGGGGAGCGAACAGG
rnacentral:rRNA from 1 species